rnacentral:rRNA from 1 species
CCUACGGGAGGCAGCAGUGGGGAAUUUUGGACAAUGGGCGCAAGCCUGAUCCAGCAAUGCCGCGUGAGUGAAGAAGGCCUUCGGGUUGUAAAGCUCUUUUGUCAGGGAAGAAACGGUGGGGGCUAAUAUCUCCCACUAAUGACGGUACCUGAAGAAUAAGCACCGGCUAACUACGUGCCAGCAGCCGCGGUAAUACGUAGGGUGCAAGCGUUAAUCGGAAUUACUGGGCGUAAAGCGUGCGCAGGCGGUUUUGUAAGUUUGUCGUGAAAUCCCCGGGCUCAACCUGGGAAUGGCGAUGAAGACUGCAAGGCUAGAAUCUGGCAGAGGGGGGUAGAAUUCCACGUGUAGCAGUGAAAUGCGUAGAGAUGUGGAGGAACACCGAUGGCGAAGGCAGCCCCCUGGGUCAAGAUUGACGCUCAUGCACGAAAGCGUGGGGAGCAAACAGGAUUAGAUACCCUGGUAGUCCACGCCCUAAACGAUGUCUACUAGUUGUCGGGUUUUAAUUAACUUGGUAACGCAGCUAACGCGUGAAGUAGACCGCCUGGGGAGGUAGUCGCGAGAGUAAACUACGAAGAGUAGUAGAGNGNGAGAGCGCGACGACGACGACGAGGAGGAGG